AAAAAAAAAAAAAAAAAAAUACAUUAAAAAAUUAUUAAAAAUUAGAAGAAAAAAAAUUCUGACCCCAUUAAAAUUGUUCUUCCUUCUUUUUUUGUCCCCACCGAACAAAAGCCCAAUAUCAAGUUAUCAACCCAUAUAGCAAACAAAAAUAUUAAUAUAUAAACCUAAAAUAACUAACUUAAUAAAUUAAAGACCUAAACCUAGUUUGUUGUUAUUUUUUCUCCUAUU
rnacentral:lncRNA from 1 species